UGAGGCAGAUCUUUUUGUUGGCUUGUGUCUGUCAUUUUAUGAUGUUCUGUGUGUAGCCGGCUGCUUCCCUCAGUGUCAAAGUGGUAGUGAACGCAGCACACUGUACGCUACAGUUAGCUUAGCUUGUCAAUCUGAAGUGAGAAUAUGUUUAUGAGCAGCUGCUUCAUUGAAUGUGUCUCAAAUGGCACCUUAUUUCCUUAUAGGGCCUUCUAAAUUAGUCCACUACAAAGUAAAUGGGGGUGCCAUUUGCACUUUGUGUCGUACUGCAUACCAGUUGGUGCUGGGACCAGCUUCCCUCGGCAUCGACGUGAUGAGACCACGAUGCACGCCUGCCUCUCCACAGCUGAGGAAGACAUUUUUUUUAAAUAGAUGUUUACAUCCAUUUCAAUGGAUCAAAAGUAGUGCACUACUUGCUGUAUUAUAGGGAAUAGGGUCCCAUUUGGGGUGCAGAUAAUGUAAAACCCCUUUUUGAAUAAUAAGUUGGGUAUUUAUAAUGUGAACAGCUCUGGUAUUCUACGCAUUAGAACUUUGAGACACUGGUGAAUGUUCAGAGCACGGAGGCGUGUUGUUUGGAUAGCUACUGUAAUACAGGGCUGGGCUUCUUAUAGAUGACUUCCAGUCAACUACUGUCUGGGAUGGGAAGUCGGGAUGUCUACAGGUUCAAGUUUUAGCUUGUUUGUCUUGAACUUGUCAUUUAAAUAUAUGUGUUAAAUAAACUAAGCGGUGUCGACAA